rnacentral:pre_miRNA from 1 species
UCUGUGGAAUAGUGUGUAUGUGAGGGAGUAGGAUGUAUGGUUGUUAGAUAGACAACUACAAUCUUUUCUCACAACAGACAGAGCCUGUCAUUAAGUAGGCACUCAGAAAUG